rnacentral:rRNA from 1 species
AAGUUGGGCACUUUAGUGAGACUGCCGGUGACAAACCGGAGGAAGGUGGGGACGACGUCAAAUCAUCAUGCCCCUUAUGACCUGGGCUACACACGUGCUACAAUGGAUGGUACAACGAGUCGCGAGACCGCGAGGUUAAGCUAAUCUCUUAAAACCAUUCUCAGUUCGGACUGUAGGCUGCAACUCGCCUACACGAAGUCGGAAUCGCUAGUAAUCGCGGAUCAGCAUGCCGCGGUGAAUACGUUCCCGGGCCUUGUACACACCGCCCGUCACACCAUGAGAGUUUGUAACACCCAAAGC